UUUUUUUGUGAUGUAUUUUAUAGGACCAACUAGGGGAGAAGUUGGACAACCUUUCAAGCCCAAAGUGCCCUCCUUCAGGUCUGGAAAAGAAGUAGUGAUAGACUAAGAUAAAUGCCAGAAAAAAAAAAUGGCUUGUGUUUAAUUACAUGUAAAAGAAGAAAAUCACUUACAUUCUUCUAAGACGGUUGUGAAACAGGAGUAAAGCGAGAAGAUCAGAGUAAUAAAGAUCCUUUUCUCUUUUUUGAAUGGUCUUGUUCUUCUACAAAAAUAGUUUCUACCACUGCAGCUCACUUGUUUUGAAGCUUCUUCUAAUUGCCUCUCUUUGCUCUUGCUUCACAGGCAUCCUCCAGUGAAGUCACCUCAACCCUUCCAACUGCUCAGCCCUUUGAAAUCAACCUACAGAAGCCUCUGCCAGGGCUGGAAGAGGAAGAUGAGGGGCAAGAAGAUGUCCACAGCCAGCACCUAUAAAUACCCACAUACAGUACUUCAGAAUCAUUUUUGCUUUUCCUUGGCAGAAGCAGAAAGUGCUGUUUUAUUUUCUUGCUUAUAAUGCACCCCCUCCCCCCACUUCCAGGCCAUGAAUGUUGGAAAAGAGAUUAAGUGAGUAACACUAGAUGGAGCCUUCCUUGUCUUAAAAGCAUAUGAGACUGGUGCUUUGAACUUGUGGAGUGAAUAUUUCUUUUUUUAACAUGGUUAAAAACACAGUUGUUUCUGAUGUAAAGGAUCAUAUCUAAUGAGAGAAAUAUAAUGAUAUAACCACAUCUUCCUUAAACAAUUACAUAAGGGAAAAAUUACAUUGCCUGAUUUCCUUGUACAUAAGAACAAUCUACAAUUCUAAAUGCAAAGACCUUAAAAGGUUAUUACUCUGCUGGAGUUAGAUACAGCAAAAUAUUAUUAAAAAUACUCCUUGAGAUGCUCAUCUGCAUGUUCCAGACUUGUCUGGUUUUGUGUAACUGAAAUGCAAUUUUAGAAAGAGAAUGAAUUUGUUUGUAAGCCUUUAUAUAAGACAGUCAUUUUACUAGCUGCUUUGAAAGCAUUCCAGCUUAUUCAAAACAGAGCCCCAAAGUGCUUAUACUUUAGAAAAUAUGUUGUGGUUUUAAAUCCUCUUGAAAACUGUUGCAUAUAUAGGUAGAUGGAAUUGUUUCUGCAUCACAAAUAUUUGUGGGUUAGCUCUGAAUCUAGGAGCAAUGAAAAGGAAAUAUAAUGUUGUAGCAGUAGUUGUAGCAUUUGCAAAUAUCCGUCUUAGAAAAAUCUAUUCAGCAUAUGCUAA